GUAGUCUCGCACAGAUGCAUAUCAAUAAGCGGAGGAAAAGAAACUAACAAGGAUUCCCCUAGUAACGGCGAGUGAAGCGGGAAGAGCUCAAAUUUGAAAUCUUAAAGGGUUUCCCUUUACGAAUUGUAGUUUAAAGAAGUGUUUUCUGCUGAGGUUUUGGUAAAAGUUCUUUGGAAUAGGACAUCAUAGAGGGUGAGAAUCCCGUAUUUGACCUUUACUUUCAACUUUGUGAUACACUUUCAAAGAGUCGGAUUGUUUGGGAAUGCAGUCCAAAAUGGGUGGUAAAUUUCAUCUAAAGCUAAAUAUUGGCGAGAGACCGAUAGCGAACAAGUACCGUGAGGGAAAGAUGAAAAGAACUUUGAAAAGAGAGUUAAACAGUACGUGAAAUUGUCAAAAGGGAAGCGUUUGACACCAGUGUUGUUUUUCUGAAAAUCAAUUAAAGAACUGUUUAUGCUAAGUUGUUUAGACUUUAUCAGCUAACUGUUUAGUUUUGAGCUUUCUUUAAUGCACUUUUCAGUUAACAAGUCAACAUCAAUUUCUUUUGCUGUAAAAAAGCUUGAGGAAGGUGGCUUGAGAUUCGUCUUAAGUGUUUAUAGCCUCUUGCCUAUGCAGUCGGAGAGAUUGAGGUCUGCAGCGUAGAUCCUUCGGGGCUAAAUGCAUUUGUGCUAAGUUAUAGCAUUUUAUAGACAACUUGUUGACUAUGAUUUGUCUUGUAGCUUACUCGCUUAUGUUAUUUUACCUACGCUUAGGAUGUUGAUCUGUAGUGCGUGCGC
rnacentral:rRNA from 1 species